AGAGUUGUAUCCUGGCUCAGGAUGAACGCUGGCGAGAUGCCUUAUACAUGCAAGUCGUACGAGAGUUUUUAACUCAAGUGGCGGACGGGUGAGUAACACGUAAGAAUUUGCCUUUAGGAGGGGGACAACAACUGGAAACGGUUGCUAAUACCCCAUAUGCUUUCGAGUGAAAUGGAUUUUUCCGCCUAGAGAGAAGCUUGCGGCUGAUUAGCUUGUUGGUGAGGUAAUGGCUCACCAAGGCGACGAUCAGUAUCUGGUUUGAGAGGACGAUCAGACACACUGGAACUGAGACACGGUCCAGACUCCUACGGGAGGCAGCAGUGGGGAAUUUUCCGCAAUGGGCGAAAGCCUGACGGAGCAAUACAGCGUGAGGGAAGACUGCCUAUGGGUUGUAAACCUCUUUUUUCAGGGAGGAAUAAAUGACGUGUACCUGAAGAAUAAGCAUCGGCUAACUCCGUGCCAGCAGCCGCGGUAAGACGGAGGAUGCAAGUGUUAUCCGGAAUCGCUGGGCGUAAAGCGUCUGUAGGUGGUUUAAUAAGUCAACUGUUAAAUCUUGAGGCUCAACUUCAAAAUCGCAGUCGAAACUAUUAGACUAGAGUAUAGUAGAGGUAAAGGGAAUUUCCAGUGGAGCGGUGAAAUGCGUAGAUAUUGGAAAGAACACCGAUGGCGAAAGCACUUUACUGGGCUAUUACUAACACUCAGAGACGAAAGCUAGGGUAGCAAAUGGGAUUAGAUA
rnacentral:rRNA from 1 species